UGGGGAAUAUUGCACAAUGGGCGAAAGCCUGAUGCAGCGACGCCGCGUGAAGGAGGAAGUAUUUCGGUAUGUAAACUUCUAUCAGCAGGGAAGAAAAUGACGGUACCUGACUAAGAAGCUCCGGCUAAAUACGUGCCAGCAGCCGCGGUAAUACGUAUGGAGCAAGCGUUAUCCGGAUUUACUGGGUGUAAAGGGAGCGCAGGCGGCAUGGCAAGUCAGAUGUGAAAGGCUGGGGCCCAACCCCAGGACUGCAUUUGAAACUGUCAGGCUGGAGUGCAGGAGAGGCAGGCGGAAUUCCUAGUGUAGCGGUGAAAUGCGUAGAUAUUAGGAGGAACACCAGUGGCGAAGGCGGCCUGCUGGACUGUAACUGACGCUGAGGCUCGAAAGCGUGGGGAGCAAACAGG
rnacentral:rRNA from 1 species